rnacentral:rRNA from 1 species
UACGAAGGGGGCUAGCGUUGCUCGGAAUCACUGGGCGUAAAGGGUGCGUAGGCGGUUGUUUAAGUUUGGUGUGAAAUCUCCCGGCUCAACUGGGAGGGUGCGCCGAAUACUGAAUGACUAGAGUGCGGGAGAGGAGAGUGGAAUUCCUGGUGUAGCGGUGAAAUGCGCAGAUAUCAGGAAGAACACCCGUGGCUAAGGCGGCUCUCUAGUACGGUACUGACGCUGAGACGCGAAAGCGUGGGGAGCGAACAGG